CCUACGGGUGGCAGCAGUGGGGAAUAUUGCACAAUGGGCGCAACCCUGAUGCAGCGACGCCGCGUGAGUGAAGAAGUAAUUCGUUAUGUAAAGCUCUAUUAGCAGGGAAGAAAAUGACGGUACCUGUGUAAGAAGCCCCGGCUAACUACGUGCCAGCAGCCGCGGUAAUACGUAGGGGGCAAGCGUUAUCCGGAUUUACGGGGUGUAAAGGGGGCGUAGACGGCAGUGCAAGUCUGGAGUGAAAGGCGGGGGCUCAACCCCCGGACUGCUCUGGAAACUGUACGGCUGGAGUGCAGGAGGGGUAAGUGGAAUUCCUAGUGUAGCGGUGGAAUGCGGAGAUAUUAGGAGGAACACCAGUGGCGAAGGCGGGUUACUGGACUGUAACUGACGUUGAGGCUCGAAAGCGUGGGGAGCAAACAGGAUUAGAUACCCCGGUAGUC
rnacentral:rRNA from 1 species